GUGUCAGCCGCCGCGGUAAUACGUAGGGGGCAAGCGUUGUCCGGAAUUAUUGGGCGUAAAGCGCGCGCAGGCGGUGAUUUAAGUUUGGUGUUUAAUCCCGGGGCUCAACCCCGGGUCGCACUGAAAACUGGGUCACUUGAGUGCGGGAGAGGAAAGUGGAAUUCCACGUGUAGCGGUGAAAUGCGUAGAGAUGUGGAGGAACACCAGUGGCGAAGGCGACUUUCUGGACCGUAACUGACGCUGAGGCGCGAAAGCGUGGGGAGCAAACAGGAUUAGAUACCCUGGUAGUCCACGCCGUAAACGAUGAGUGCUAGGUGUUAGGGGUUUCGAUACCCUUGGUGCCGAAGUUAACACAGUAAGCACUCCGCCUGGGGAGUACGCUCGCAAGAGUGAA
rnacentral:rRNA from 1 species